UGUUUUAACUGAAAAUGGCUCUCCUACCCCUUUUAUUUCAUGGAAUACUGGACGUUCAAAACAUAGAACAGCUUUUGUUUGUGAAAUAUCCCAGCGUUUAACUUUGUCUUACUGGUCUUCACUUUUAACUAUUUAAUUAUUUUCUUUAUCAACAUUGG
rnacentral:sRNA from 1 species